rnacentral:lncRNA from 1 species
AGGACUACUCCCGUCCUAGCACGCUUAACUCUCUUAACCUCUUGGACCUUGCCACCACCCAAAAUGCUUAAGCCGGGUUAAGAGUUUAGCCCUAUUAUAUCUUAUAUAUAGGACUAUCUGGGGUCUCACACCCCGAGUAGGCACAGCCUAGGGGUAGAUGUACUAAAACUUGUAAAUAAAUAAUGUGAUAACUUGGAUUGUAUUUGGAGGUCAAAUGUAAUAUGUAAAAAAAAGUUGGAAUGUAUAACCG